UUUUAAUAGCUGCAGUAAUUUAACUGUACAAAGGUAGCAUAAUAAUUAGUCUUUUAAUUGAGGUCUAGAAUGAAUGGUUCAACAAGAAGAAAACUUUAUUUUUAAAAUAGAAUUUUAAUUUAAUUUUUUGGUUAAAAAGCUAAAAUAUUUAAUUGGGACGAUAAGACCCUAUAGAUCUUAAAUUUUUUGUUGAUUAAACAUUUUUAGUAAAAUUAAUAUUUUUUAAUUGAAAAUUUUAGUUGGGGUGAUUUAAAAAUUUUUAAAACUUUUUAAUAUUUUUACAUUUAUGGAUGUUUAUUUUGAUCUUUAAUUUUUGAUUGUUAGAUUAAGAUACCUUAGGGAUAACAGCGUAAUAUAUUUGGAUAGUUCAUAUUGAUAAAUUGUGAUUACGACCUCGAUGUUGAAUUAAUUUAAAUUUUUGAAGCAGAAAUUAAAAGUUUUAGGUCUGUUCGACCUUUAAUUAAUUACA
rnacentral:rRNA from 1 species